rnacentral:lncRNA from 10 species
AACACCACCUGCCAACAUUCAGCCUCCUCUGCCCAUCAGCCUUGCUGACACAGGGAGUGGAGAUUUGUGUAGAGAAAUGACUCAUUCAAAUAUGACUUAAUCUAAACCGUAAGUGUAUGAUUUAUUAAUGUGCCACCAGGCCUUACACCAAGAGAGCCAUUCCAGAGAAAAGUCCUUUUUCUCCUGAGAACAGUGCCAGCAGCUGGCUUCGUGACAUUCUGGAAGCCCCGUGCAAUGCUGUCAGGAGCAUAGGGAUUUUACUUUAUCUCCCUUGCUUAUGCUCCACAUAACUGAAAUAUCUCACUGGAAGCUGCAGCAGUGCUGGCCCCUUGCACAGCCAUAUGUGACCACUGCAGAACAAUCAGUUGGAGAGACAGUUUGGACUACAUGGAGGGUGGAGAUAAGGACAAAGUGAAGAAUACACAGGAACCAGUGCCUCCUCCUGGAACUAUGCAACUCCAAGCUGCUUCCAUCAGCUGCUAGGUCCAGUAGGGAGGGACCUACUGAGAGAGCUAAUUAAAAAUGUGGUGUCCUGGACUCACGAAGCCAGAAUUGCUGAGGAGAUAGCCCGAGAAUCUGAAUUUUUAGCAGACAUUUUUUUAGGUACCUUACCCGCAGGAUCAUUUCUGUGAAUAUCCAUGAGGUGAAAAAGUCUGGGAAACACUGUCCUAGACAGGAAACGCCACGAAGUGUCUGGAUCAAAGAACAGACUAUUGCUCACAGAGCACCUUCAUAGCAUUGUUCCUCAUGCCCCCGUUGCCCAAGGGGAUGGCAGGUUGAGGACCAGAUGUACUUGCAUGUUCAGGGGAUGCAGCACAGAAGAGGAACUCCAAAAUUAUUAUUAUUAUUGUUAUUAUUAUUAUUUUUGAGAUGGAGUCUCGCUCUGUCGCCCAGCCUGGAGUGCAGUGGCGUGAUCUCGGCUCACUGCAAGCUCCGCCUCCCGGGUUCACGCCAUUCUCCUGCCUCAGCCUCCCGAGUAGCUGGGACUACAGGCACGCACCGCCACGCCCUGUUAAUUUUUUUUGUAUUUUUUUUUAGUAGAGACAGGGUUUCACCGUGUUAGCCAGGAUGGUCUUGAUCUCCUGACCUCGUGAUCCACCCGCCUCGGCCUCCCAAAGUGCUGGGAUUACAGGCGUGAGCCACCGCGCCCGGCCGAACUCCAAAAUUAUUAAACUCUGAGCGUCUGCAGGUGACUGACACAUCUGCGCUUCCUUUCUUCCAGGGUGUGGGGAAGAGCGAGAAAAAGAUUUCCGCUCUGGAAGGUAAACAAAUACUCUCUGGAGAGAGAAGAGGAAUGUCCCUAGCAGAUGUCUCCAGAGAAGACAAGACUUUAAAUUCCGCCAGGGAAAUAUACAAUGUCUAACUUCUAAGGCACAUUUGCCAUUCAAUCAUGCUUUAACCCACGUUGCCAGAAAUUUUUGCUCACUAGGUUUUGACUGUACAGGAAUGUGAAAAUAUUCAUGAAGAGUUGUUUUCCAAUGCUAAAGAAUUGAUGUGUUUUAACAGUUGAAUUAAUUGUAUUGAUUAUGAUCACACCUACUUUUUAUAUAUCUUCAUUUCUAACGUUUCUGUACAAUCCUGCCUUUCCACCUGAUAUAGUUAGGCCUUGUGUCAUCAACCAAAUCUCAUCUUGAAUUGUAAUCGCCAUAAUCCCCACGUAUUUAGGGAGAGACCUGGAGGGAGGUGUUUGGAUCAUGGGGGCGGUUUCCCGCAUGCUGUUCUCAUGACCAUGAGAGUAAGUUCUCAAGAGAUCUGAUGGUUUUAUAAGCGUCUGUCAUUUCCACUGCUUGCACUUCUGUGUCCUGCCACCUUGUGAAGAAGGACGUGGUUGCUUCCCCUUCCACCAUGAUUGUGUUUCCUGAGGCCUCCCCAGCCUUGCAGAGCUGUGAGUCAAUUAAACCUCUUUCCUUUAUAAAUUACUCAGUCUCUGUAUUCCUCUGCAGCAGUGUGAGAACAGACUAAUACAUCACCACUUUAUUUACUUUACUCUCUCCCCAUACCGAGGUUUUCUACAUUUUCUUUCUAGGUCUCUACAGUUUCUGCAAAGAUCCUUUAUGGAACUCUUAGGGAAGCUGGGAUGUAUAAUAAAUAAAGGGCUCUUUUCUUUGAGUCCCACACCCAUUUUCUGUGUAUAAAAAUCUUCAACUCCACUUUUGUCUGUUCUAUUUAAAUGUGUGCACAUUUCCUUCUAAUGUUGUAUAUGAAAAAGAGACACCUCUUAGCAGUCUUUCAUAGAGCAAAAUUUUUUACUUUGAUAAAAUCUAAUUUAUCAAUAUUUUUAAAUUUUAUGGAUCAAUCAUGCUUUUGAGGUUGAAUUUAAGAAUGCUUUGCCUAGCCCUAGAUCCCAAGUAUCUUUUAAAAAUUAUUUUUCUAAAUGCAUUAUUUAUGUUUUACACUUAAGUCUAUAAUCCAUUUUGAGUCCAUGUGUAAGAUUUAGGUUAAGGUCAAGAUUUAUCUGUUUUUGUUGUUUUCUCUAUAAAUGUCAAUUGCUCCAGCACUAUUUGUUUAAAAGCCAAUCUUUCCUCCGCUGAGUUCUUCCUAUAAGUUUGUCAAAAGUCAAUUUGGCAUCUUUGUAUAAGUUUAUUUCUGGAUUCUCUAUUCUGUUUUAUUGAUCACUGCAUCUAUCCCUCUUGAUUAGCUAGAUAAUAAAUCCUACAAUAAGGUAGAAUUCUUCCCACUUUAUUCAUAUUCAAAAUAUUUUAAAGCUAUUCUAGUUUCUUUUUAUUUCCAUAUAUAUUUUAGGAUAAUCUUAUCUAUAUUUACAACAUAUGUUGCUAGGAUUUUGAUAGAAUUUGUUUUAAAUUUGUGUAUCAAUGUAGGGAAGACCUGACAUCUUUACUAUUACGUUGAUCUUCCAAUCAAUGAAUAUGGUAUAUCUCUCAGUUUAUAGCUAUUGUCUUUAAUUUAUUUCAUCAUGGUUUUUAGUUUUCAGCAGAGAAGCUUUAUACAUGUUUUGUUAUACAUGUAUAACAAAAGAAGCCUUAUACACUGACAUUUUAUAUUUUGAACAAUUGUAAAUGGUAUUGUUUAAAAAUUUUGUUGUCUAUGAUAGAAAUAAAAUUGAUUUUUGUAGGUUUAUCUUGUAACCUAUGACUUGCUGAGCUCGCUCAUUAGUUUUUUUAUUGUGAUAAAAUAUACAUGAGAUAAAUUUCAUCAUUAUAAUCAUUAAGUUUAGACAUCAAUUGCAUUAAGUACAUAAAUGCCUUAUGCAACCAUCAUCUCUAUCCAUCUCCAGACCCUUUGCAUCACCCUAAAAUGAAACUCUGUGCCCAUUAAACAAUAACUCCCCAUUCUGCCCUCACCCCAGCCCUUGGUAAUUACCAUCCUACCUUUUAUCUCUAUAAAUUUAACCAUCCCAGGUAACUCAUAUAAGUGGAAUCAUGCAGUGUUUGUCCUUUUGUAACUGGUUUAUUUCACUUAGCAUGAUGUCUUCAAGGUUUGCCUAUGUCAUAGCAUGUGUCAGAAUUUCAUCCCUUUUUAAACUUAAAUAAUAUUCCACUGUAGGCAUAUGCCACAUUUUGUUUAUUUGUUCAUCUGUUGAUGGGCAUUUGGGUUGUUUCCACCUUUUGGCUACUGUGAAUAAUGCUGCUGUGAUCAUGGGUAUGCAACUGUCUCCUGGAGUCCCUGCUAUCAAUUCUUGUGGGUAUAUACCCAGAAGUGGAAUUGUUGCAACAUAUAGUAAUUCUAUGUUUAAUUUUUUGAGGACCUGCCAUAAUGUUUUCCACAGUAGCUACAUUGUCUUAUAUUCCCAUUAAGAGUUCCAAUUUCCUCACAUCUUCACCAAUACUUAUUGUUUUCUGUUUUUUUAAAUAAUAGCCAUCAUAAUAAAAGUAACAUGGUAUCUCAUUGUGGUUUUAACUGCAUUUCCCUUUUUACUGGAUUGUUUGUAAUAUUGCUGUAAUUGAGUUGUAGGAGUUUUUAAAUAUGUUCUGAAUAAUUAAUUUCUUAUCAGAUAUGUCAUUUGCAAAUAUUUUCUGCCAUUCUCUGGGUUGUCAUUUCACUCUCUUGAUAGUGUCCUUUGAUGCACAGAAGUUUUGAAAUUUGAUAAAGUUUAAUUUGCGUAUGUAUUUAUUUUGUUGCUUAUGCUUUUGGUGUCAUAUCCAAGAAAUUAUUGCCAAAUUCAGUGUCAUGAAGAUUUUCCCCUGUGUUUUCCUCUAAGAGUAUUAUAGUUUUAACUCUUGCACUUAGAUUGAUCCGCUUUGAGUUAAUUUUAGUAUAUGGGGUAAGACAAGGGCUCAAAUUUGUUCUUUUGUUUGAAGAUUCUAGGUCAUUUGUGAUCUUUAGGAUUUUCUAUGUAGACAUUAAUGUCAUCUUCAAAUAUGAACAGUUUAUUUCUUCCUUUUGUAUAUGUAUGAAUUUACUUUCCUUUUCUUGCCUUAUUGCACUGGCUAGAGUUUUCAGUACUAUGAUGAAUAAAAUCAGUGAGAGCAGACACCCUUGCUUUGUUUCUAAUCUUAGGAGGAAAGCUUUCAGUCUUUCAUCAUUAGGUAUACUGUUAGUUGUAGGCUUAUUAUAGAUGCUCUUUAUCAGGUUGAGGCAGUUUCCUCCUUGGUUAAGACUUUCUAUUUUUCAUUUUCAGUUAUGACCAGGCAUGUUCAUAACUGCUCAUCAAAACUUUGAAUUAGUGGCUGCUUUAACAUCCUUCUCAGACAAUUCUAACAUCUGUUUUGUUGGUGGUGGCAUCUAUCAAUUGUCUUUUUCAUUCUGUUUGAGAUCUUCCUUGCGUUUGGUAUGAUUUUUUUAAAUAUUAUGUCAUGAAACUGCAUCUUAUUUAAAUCUUCUGUUUUAGUUGGCUAUGUCUGACAUCACUUCCCCAGGGGAAGGUGUUGUUACUGCUAGUGGAGGGUGAGAAUUAUGGCUCUCCACUGACAUUGUGGUGGGAUUGGUCCCAUUACCACUGGGCAGGGUUGAAAGUCCUGACUUUCUGCUAGGCCUUCUCUGACUUCAUCGCAGCAGGAGGAAAAGAUGCCUCUGGAGUUGAAGUCAGGUUGCACUGACACUGUGUGUGUAUGGAGGUAGGCUGGGGUGAAAGUGGAGACUCAUUACCACAUGGUGAGUAGUUUCCAGCUCUCUAUUUGGCCUUCUCUGAUACCACCCAGACAGGGACAUUGGGGAUACCUCAUUACAGCCUAGUGAGGGUCAAACUCUAGGCUCCCCACUCAGUCUUUGCUAUCAUGGACACUGUAGGACCAUAGUUUUUUCUGUGCUGUUUGCUUGAUGUGUCUUCCUUGGACCCUGAGUUCCAUAGCUGGUCUGCAUUCCUCUCUCCACCUUUAAGACGUCUUCUUAUGUUUAUUUCAUAUUUAACAUCCAGGGUGGUAAUUAGAGGGAAGAAUAGAGGGAAAAGUACAGUUGCACUUUGUUGUUCAAAGAGCAGUUUUGAACUGCACAGACCCAUUUCUCUGAGCACACCCAGGGAUGAUUGUACUUGUAUAAAAUUUUUUUCCUGGAUGCAGAAUUCUCAAUUGACUGUGAAAGUUCAUAACAAAGAAAACAGUGGGGAAGACAAAUCUGGAAAUGAGGAAAAUAAAAAUUAAAUAGUGAGACCACCCAUGGAGCUUGUGGCAAAGCCUGAAUUGAAUCCGCUGUAUCUUAAGAUUGUGCCUCAUUCUAAAUUUAAGUCACCCUUCUCAUUAUGAAAGUGUCACAACUUCUCAGUAGGUGAGGAGACAGUCUAAAUUUGAGAAAAGAAAGUUACAACAAAGGUUUUGAGCAAGCUGCUAAGUGGAUUUAUUCAUGUUUGAGAAAUCAAAUAUAUGGUUAAUGAGCUCUUUAACUAGAAGCCAACACUAGGGAGGAGUAGACAGAAGUCACGGGGAGGGAGCCCCCGGACAUUUCAAAAGACUUUGCCCUGCAACAUCUCCUCCACAUUUAAGCUUUUAGGUUAUUGUAGCCACAUCACAAGCAUGUUACCUACCCAGAUAUUGUCUGCGCAUCAUUCCCAAAAGCUUCCCUGGGUCUUCAUAAUAUUAAUGAGAUUCUCCCCCAGGUUAGACCCCUUUGGCUUGAGUCAGAAACAGAAUUAAUCCGGGGGACAAUCCAGCAGCACCCAUCUCUGGGUUGCAGAAAUAUCUGAGGUGACCAGGCAGUGUUUGGAGUCCCCUCAGUUAGCUAACAAAGUGAGUUCACAGCUUCCAAGACCCCAGGCUUUCCAGGCUAAUAAAGAGCUGAGGUUAUAGGCUCUCCUUAUCAAACGCUCUUUGGCAGCUGCCAUAACCAUUCCAAGUCUAGUCCUAGAAUAGAAAUGACGCGGUUUCAGGAGCUGACAGAUGGAACUUUAAGCCUUCCUUCCUGCCACAUCUGAAGUUCUUUUUUAAAAAAAUAGAAAACCAUGACAAUAAACACUCCUUGAAUGCCCUGUGGAAAAGUGUACUCCUCAGAAUUCACUAAAGUGGGGUGAAGCAGUGGGUUGUGGUGCUGAGAAAACAUCUCUUCCCCUCGGCAGUAUAUUGGAAUCUCAUAGAAACUUCUGUGGCUGGGAAGCAAACAUGCUCUCUGCCCCAUUGCUCUUAUUCAUCUUUAGACCUGAUAAUACAGUUUGAACUUCAAGUUGCACUUUAAAUGGCAUGCAUUUUUA